GUAUAAUAGUAGAUCACUCAAGGCAUGCUGAGAGAUUUAUUAACAUUUUUGGAAUUUGGGAAAGUUUCAACAUCUUACAUUGAACAUGGACAUGAAGAUUCUAAUAAUAAUAAUGAUUUUAUGCAAUGUACUUGUAAUGAAUAUAAAAUAUGAUUGUAAGGCAGAUCACUUGAUGCAUGCUGAGACUGGAAUUCACAUUCCUACCACUUGGGAAAGUAUCAACAUCCUACAUUGAACAACGGACUAGAAGAUUCUGAUAAUAAUAAUGGUUUUAUGCAAUAUGGCAGUAUAUUAGUAGAUCACUCAAGGCAUGCUGAGACAUUUAUUAACAUUUUUGGAAUUUGGGAAAGUUUCAACAUCUUACAUUGAACAUGGACAUGAAGAUUCUAAUAAUAAUAAUGAUUUUAUGCAAUGUACUUGUAAUGAAUAUAAAAUAUGAUUGUAAGGCAGAUCACUUGAUGCAUGCUGAGACUGGAAUUCACAUUCCUACCACUUGGGAAAGUAUCAACAUCCUACAUUGAACAACGGACUAGAAGAUUCUGAUAAUAAUAAUGGUUUUAUGCAAUAUGGCAGUAUAUUAGUAGAUCACUCAAGGCAUGCUGAGACAUUUAUUAACAUUUUUGGAAUUUGAGAAAGUUUCAACAUCUUACAUUGAACAUGGACAUGAAGAUUCUGAUAAUAAUAAUGAUUUUAUGCAAUAUGAUUGUAAGGCAGAUCACUUGAUGCAUGCUGAGACUGGAAUUCACAUUCCUACCACUUGGGAAAGUAUCAACAUCCUACAUUGAACAACGGACUAGAAGAUUCUGAUAAUAAUAAUGGUUUUAUGCAAUAUGGCAGUAUAUUAGUAGAUCACUCAAGGCAUGCUGAAACAUUUAUUAACAUUUUUGGAAUUUGGGAAAGUUUCAACAUCUUACAUUGAACAUGGACAUGAAGAUUCUGAUAAUAAUAAUGAUUUUAUGCAAUGUACUUGUAAUGAAUAUAAAAUAUGAUUGUAAGGCAGAUCACUUGAUGCAUGCUGAGACUGGAAUUCACAUUCCUACCACUUGGGAAAGUAUCAACAUCCUACAUUGAACAACGGACUAGAAGAUUCUGAUAAUAAUAAUGGUUUUAUGCAAUAUGGCAGUAUAUUAGUAGAUCACUCAAGGCAUGCUGAGACAUUUAUUAACAUUUUUGGAAUUUGGGAAAGUUUCAACAUCUUACAUUGAACAUGGACAUGAAGAUUCUGAUAAUAAUAAUGAUUUUAUGCAAUGUACUUGUAAUGAAUAUAAAAUAUGGUUGUAAGGCAGAUCACUUGAUGCAUGCUGAGACUGGAAUUCACAUUCCUACCACUUGGGAAAGUAUCAACAUCCUACAUUGAACAACGGACUAGAAGAUUCUGAUAAUAAUAAUGGUUUUAUGCAAUGUACGUGUAAUGAAUA